AUUGAACGCUGGCGGCAGGCCUAACACAUGCAAGUCGAGCGGAUGAAGGGAGCUUGCUCCUGGAUUCAGCGGCGGACGGGUGAGUAAUGCCUAGGAAUCUGCCUGGUAGUGGGGGAUAACGUCCGGAAACGGGCGCUAAUACCGCAUACGUCCUGAGGGAGAAAGUGGGGGAUCUUCGGACCUCACGCUAUCAGAUGAGCCUAGGUCGGAUUAGCUAGUUGGUGGGGUAAAGGCCUACCAAGGCGACGCUCCGUAACUGGUCUGAGAGGAUGAUCAGUCACACUGGAACUGAGACACGGUCCAGACUCCUACGGGAGGCAGCAGUGGGGAAUAUUGGACAAAGGGCGAAAGCCUGAUCCAGCCAUGCCGCGUGUGUGAAGAAGGUCUUCGGAUUGUAAAGCACUUUAAGUUGGGAGGAAGGGCAGUAAGUUAAUACCUUGCUGUUUUGACGUUACCAACAGAAUAAGCACCGGCUAACUUCGUG
rnacentral:rRNA from 1 species